GAUUAACGCUGGCGGCGUGCCUAACACAUGCAAGUCGAACGAGGUAGCAAUACCUAGUGGCAGACGGGUGAGUAACGCGUGGUCAACCUACCGUUGAGUGGGGGAUAACUAGCCGAAAGGUUAGCUAAUACCGCAUACGUCUCCGAGUGGCAUCACUUGGCGAUAAAAGGAGCAAUCCGCUCGAUGACGGGACCGCGUCCCAUUAGCUAGAUGGUGGGGUAACGGCCUACCANGGCACCGAUGGGUAGCUGGUUUGAGAGAGCGACCAGCCACACUGGGACUGAGAAACGGCCCAGACUCCUACGGGAGGCAGCAGUGAGGAAUUUCCGCAAUGGGCGCAAGCCUGACGGAGCGACGCCGCGUGUGGGAAGAAGGCCUUCGGUC
rnacentral:rRNA from 1 species